AUUGAACGCUGGCGGCAGGCCUAACACAUGCAAGUCGAGCGGUUGAAGGGAUCUUGCUCCUGGAUUCAGCGGCGGACGUGUGUGUAAUGUCUAGGAAUCUGCCUGGUCGUGGGGGAUAACGUCCGGAAACGGGCGCUAAUAUCGCAUACGUCCUGUGGGAGAAAGUGGGGGAUCUUCGGCCCCACCGUUUUUGGUUGGCCUUGGGCCGUUUAACCUGUUUGGUGGGGUAAAGGCCUCCCAAGGCGCCACUCGGUAACUGGCCUGAGAGGUUGACGAGUCACACUGGGACUGAGACACGGUCCAGACACCUACGGGAGGCAGAAGUGGGGAAUAUUGGAAGAAGGGCGAAAGACUGAACAAGCCAUGCCGCGUGUAUGAAGAAGGUCUGCGGAUUGUAAAACACUUUAAGUUGGGAAGAAGGGCAGUAGGAGAAUAGCUGGCUGUUGUGACGGUACCAGCAGAAUAAGCACCGGCUAACUACGUG
rnacentral:rRNA from 1 species